GCUAUACAUGCAAGUCGAGCGGACCGAAAAGAAGCUUGCUUCUAUUCGGUUAGCGGCGGACGGGUGAGUAACACGUGGGCAACCUGCCCGUAAGACCGGGAUAACUUCGGGAAACCGGAGCUAAUACCGGAUAACACGAAAGACCGCAUGGUCUUUCGUUGAAAGGCGGCGAAAGCUGUCACUUACGGAUGGGCCCGCGGCGCAUUAGCUAGUUGGUGAGGUAACGGCUCACCAAGGCGACGAUGCGUAGCCGACCUGAGAGGGUGAUCGGCCACACUGGGACUGAGACACGGCCCAGACUCCUACGGGAGGCAGCAGUAGGGAAUCUUCCGCAAUGGACGAAGGUCUGACGGAGCAACGCCGCGUGAGCGAAGAAGGUCUUCGGAUUGUAAAGCUCUGUUGUUAGGGAAGAACAAGUACCGCAGUAACUGGCGGCACCUUGACGGUACCUAACGAGAAAGCCACGGCUAACUACGUGCCAGCAGCCGCGGUAAUACGUAGGUGGCAAGCGUUGUCCGGAAUUAUUGGGCGUAAAGCGCGCGCAGGCGGUCCUUUAAGUCUGAUGUGAAAGCCCACGGCUCAACCGUGGAGGGUCAUUGGAAACUGGGGGACUUGAGUGCAGAAGAGGAGAGCGGAAUUCCACGUGUAGCGGUGAAAUGCGUAGAGAUGUGGAGGAACACCAGUGGCGAAGGCGGCUCUCUGGUCUGUAACUGACGCUGAGGCGCG
rnacentral:rRNA from 1 species